UACGAAGGGGGCUAGCGUUGCUCGGAAUCACUGGGCGUAAAGCGCACGUAGGCGGCUUUUUAAGUCAGGGGUGAAAUCCUGGAGCUCAACUCCAGAACUGCCUUUGAUACUGGAGAGCUUGAGUCCGGGAGAGGUGAGUGGAACUGCAAGUGUAGAGGUGAAAUUCGUAGAUAUUCGCAAGAACACCAGUGGCGAAGGCGGCUCACUGGCCCGGUACUGACGCUGAGGUGCGAAAGCGUGGGGAGCAAACAGG
rnacentral:rRNA from 1 species